AAACAUCCCCCAAGUCAACAAUCCCCCACUCCUCCUUCUGUAUUAGAUUCAUCUGGUACCUGUAAAAUCGUUUCUUCCUCUUCAUCUAGCGUUAACCCCGCAAAUUCUGCUUCCAUUCUAUUACGUCAACUAAAAUUGGCUAAAUCGACUUGCCAAAACCAAGAAUAAAAGUAAACCCAAACCCGUCGUCACACCAAAACAAAUAACCAAAAGAAAAACCCUAAAAACUACCACAGAGAGUAGACAGAAACAUGCUAGGAUAGCAGACUAAAUAAUAUUUUUUAAUUAAUAAAAUAUUUUUAAAAUAUUUAAAAUUUUAUAAAAAUAUAAAAACUUAUAAAUAAUAUAAAUUUCAAAAAAAUUAAAAAU
rnacentral:lncRNA from 1 species